GAAAUUCUCUGUGAUUCGAGGGCUUGAGAAGCGUCUUUCUCGAAUGUAGGACGAUGUAGACCUCAUUGUGAUGUAUUUAAUCGCCAAGAACGUCGAGUAGUACUUUGUUGUUUCAGGUUGAUCUCCAAGAAGAACUUCGUUGACCACUCCUUUGUAGAAGAACUUUGCACUUGAUGAUUGAUCUCUCUGUUUGCGGAUGCCUUCACCAAUUGCAUAAUGCUCU
rnacentral:lncRNA from 1 species